GAACCUGAUAGGAAACGCCCUUAGAAAUGGACUGAUUGUACCUUCAUCUGUGAUUCACUACAAACUGACUUCCAGAUCUAAAGAAAGAGGCUGACUGACAAGACAAGACAAUGGAAGGUGAGAAGUUGUGCGGAGCAAGUCCGUUUCUACAGACUGGGACAGUGGAGCAAGAUGGUAAAGUGGGAGCAUCAGCAGCAGGAGACAGGCACGUGACUUAGGCACUCUUCGUCUGUGCUCUGGUGGCCAUAGCUCUCUACAGAUGCCCAGUGACAGUUAGUGCAGUUUCAUCUGAACUUUGCUUCCCCAUCCUGGGUCUCCUUCCCAGAGACUCCUGUUAUUGUGUUUUAGAAUUAAAUUUAUUUCUGACAACAGCUUAGGAUGUUUUCUGGUGUUACCUGUGGCCCCAAAGGGUAAUCUCUGGGCCACCUGCAUCAAAACUUUCCUGGAGUGUUCCAUAACAUUCAGAAUCCUGUAUACAAGAAGAUCUGUGAGUGCAGGAAUGGCCUGCAGCUCUCUUUUACACAUGCAACUUUGAGGCCCAAAGGAGUAGGAAUGGUUUGCUGGAGACACCCAAAGUGAACUUGAAACAGCAGGAGAAAGAGUAAGACAGCUUGGCAUAAUUACUUUCCCACUUUUUUCUAAACUUUGGAAGUGACUCAGAGUUCCUCAGAACAGCUCCUGGCACUAGUGUUCGGUCAUUGUUGAGUUUGGAGUAAGUGUUCCUUUUAGAUAUUUCCUUGUGAGCUCAAUAACCUGAAGCAACCUCUUUUUAUAUUGAUAGAGGAGAGUCAUUUAAUGAGGAGGCUCAGUUUUACAGGUUGGAAUUAGAGUGAAAAGUAUUAAACCACAAUCUAACAUGGGGCACAAAGAAACAGGACUUUCUGUUUCUGAAGUCGGAAACAAACUAAAGCAAACAUGAAAGAAAAACAGCAAAGCAUCUCCUGAAAGCUUGUUCUUUUUGCUUAAAAUCUCCCCACUGCCCAACCCCUGGGCCUUUGCAGUUCUGAGAUGAAUAAGCUCUGGGGACCUGGUGUACAGCUUGAUCCGUGUUGUUAUUAGGAGUGCAUACUCAAAAUUCACCACGAGGGCUGACCUUGACGAAUGUAACCACGCGAGGUGUGGUGUCUGGUGGCUCGAUUGUGGUGAUCAUUUCACAGUGGAGGCAUGUGUGCAAACACCACUCUGUGUAACUAAAA